UACGUAGGGGGCAAGCGUUGUCCGGAUUUAUUGGGCGUAAAGAGCGUGUAGGCGGCUUUACAGGUCCGUUGUGAAAACUCGAGGCUCAACCUCGAGACGCCGGUGGAAACCGUAAAGCUAGAGUCCGGAAGAGGAGAGUGGGAAUUCCUGGUGUAGCGGUGAAAUGCGCAGAUAUCAGGAGGAACACCCGUGGCGAAAGCGGCUCUCUGGGACGGUACUGACGCUGAGACGCGAAAAGCGUGGGGAGCAAACAGG
rnacentral:rRNA from 1 species